UACGUAGGGGGCAAGCGUUGUCCGGAUUUAUUGGGCGUAAAGAGCGUGUAGGCGGCUUUACAGGUCCGUUGUGAAAACUCGAGGCUCAACCUCGAGACGCCGGUGGAAACCGUAAAGCUAGAGUCCGGAAGAGGAGAGUGGAAUUCCUGGUGUAGCGGUGAAAUUCGUAGAUAUCGGGAGGAACACCGGUGGCGAAGGCGGCGACCUGGGUAGAUACUGACGCUGAGGCGCGAAAGCGUGGGGAGCAAACAGG
rnacentral:rRNA from 1 species